UGAUUUGAAAGGCGCUUUCGGGUGUCGCUGAUGGAUGGACCCGCGGUGCAUUAGCUAGUUGGUGAGGUAACGGCUCACCAAGGCCACGAUGCAUAGCCGACCUGAGAGGGUGAUCGGCCACAUUGGGACUGAGACACGGCCCAAACUCCUACGGGAGGCAGCAGUAGGGAAUCUUCGGCAAUGGACGAAAGUCUGACCGAGCAACGCCGCGUGAGUGAAGAAGGUUUUCGGAUCGUAAAACUCUGUUGUUAGAGAAGAACAAGGAUGAGAGUAACUGUUCAUCCCUUGACGGUAUCUAACCAGGAAGCCACGGCUAACUACGUGCCAGCAGCCGCGGUAAUACGUAGGUGGCAAGCGUUGUCCGGAUUUAUUGGGCGUAAAGCGAGCGCAGGCGGUAUCUUAAGUCUGAUGUGAAAGCCCCCGGCUCAACCGGGGAGGGUCAUUGGAAACUGGGAGACUUGAGUGCAGAAGAGGAGAGUGGAAUUCCAUGUGUAGCGGUGAAAUGCGUAGAUAUAUGGAGGAACACCAGUGGCGAAGGCGGCUUUCUGGUCUGUAACUGACGCUGAGGCUCGAAAGCGUGGGGAGCAAACAGGAUUAGAUACCCUGGUAGUCCACGCCGUAAACGAUGAGUGCUAAGUGUUGGAGGGUUUCCGCCCUUCAGUGCUGCAGCUAACGCAUUAAGCACUCCGCCUGGGGAGUACGACCGCAAGGUUGAAACUCAAAGGAAUUGACGGGGGCCCGCACAAGCGGUGGAGCAUGUGGUUUAAUUCGAAGCAACGCGAAGAACCUUACCAGGUCUUGACAUCCUUUGACCACUCUAGAGAUAGAGCUUCCCCUUCGGGGGCAAAGUGACAGGUGGUGCAUGGUUGUCGUCAGCUCGUGUCGUGAGAUGUUGGGUUAAGUCCCGCAACGAGCGCAACCCUUAUUGUUAGUUGCCAUCAUUCAGUUGGGCACUCUAGCAAGACUGCCGGUGACAAACCGGAGGAAGGUGGGGAUGACGUCAAAUCAUCAUGCCCCUUAUGACCUGGGCUACACACGUGCUACAAUGGGAAGUACAACGAGUUGCGAAGUCGCGAGGCUAAGCUAAUCUCUUAAAGCUUCUCUCAGUUCGGAUUGCAGGCUGCAACUCGCCUGCAUGAAGCCGGAAUCGCUAGUAAUCGCGGAUCAGCACGCCGCGGUGAAUACGUUCCCGGGCCUUGUACACACCGCC
rnacentral:rRNA from 1 species